rnacentral:rRNA from 1 species
AUACGUAGGGGGCGAGCGUUGUCCGGAAUGAUUGGGCGUAAAGGGCGCGUAGGCGGCCCGGUAAGUCUGGAGUGAAAGUCCUGUUUUUAAGAUGGGAAUUGCUUUGGAUACUGUCGGGCUUGAGUGCAGGAGAGGUAAGUGGAAUUCCCAGUGUAGCGGUGAAAUGCGUAGAGAUUGGGAGGAACACCAGUGGCGAAGGCGACUUACUGGACUGUAACUGACGCUGAGGCGCGAAAGUGUGGGGAGCAAACAGGAUUAGAUACCCUGGUAGUCCACACUGUAAACGAUGAAUGCUAGGUGUAGGGGGCAUCGACCCCUUCUGUGCCGCAGUCAACACAAUAAGCAUUCCGCCUGGGGAGUACGGCCGCAAGGUUGAAACUCAAAUGAAUUGGCGGGG